rnacentral:rRNA from 1 species
CAGCCGCCGCGGUAAUACGAAGGGGGCUAGCGUUACUCGGAAUGACUGGGCGUAAAGGGCGCGUAGGCGGAUUGUACAGUCAGAUGUGAAAUUCCUGGGCUUAACCUGGGGGCUGCAUUUGAUACGUAUAGUCUUGAGUAAGGAAGAGGGUCGUGGAAUUCCCAGUGUAGAGGUGAAAUUCGUAGAUAUUGGGAAGAACACCGGUGGCGAAGGCGGCGACCUGGUCCUUGACUGACGCUGAGGCGCGAAAGCGUGGGGAGCAAACAGGAUUAGAUACCCCGGUAGUCCCUGUCUCUUAUAC